GACGAACCGUGCGAACGUUGUUCGGAAUCACUGGGCUUAAAGGGCGCGUAGGCGGGUCGGCAAGUCCGGGAUGAAAGCCCCCAGCUUAACUGGGGGAGUGCCUUGGAAACUGCCGGUCUUGAGGGAGGUAGGGGCAUGUGGAACUUCGGGUGGAGCGGUGAAAUGCGUUGAUAUCCGAAGGAACGCCGGUGGCGAAAGCGACGUGCUGGAUCUCUUCUGACGCUGAGGCGCGAAAGCCAGGGUAGCGAACGGG
rnacentral:rRNA from 1 species